CCUACGGGUGGCAGCAGUGAGGAAUAUUGGUCAAUGGACGAGAGUCUGAACGAGCCAAGCAGCGUGAAGGAUGACUGCUUUAUGGGUUGUAAACUUCUUUUAUAAAGGAAUAAAACGAGGCACGUGUGCCUUUUUGCUUGUACUUUAUGACUUUGGAUCGGCACAGUCAGUGCCAGCAGCCGCGGUAAUACGGAGGAUCCGAGCGUUAUCCGGAUUUAUUGGGUUUAAAGGGAGCGUAGAUGGGUUGUUAAGUCAGUUGUGAAAGUUUGCGGAUCAACCGUAAAAUUGCAAUUGAUACUGGCAGUCUUGAGUACAGAUGAGGUGGGCGGAAUUCGUGGUGUAGCGGUGAAAUGCUUAGAUAUCACGAAGAACCCCGAUUGCGAAGGCAGCUUACUAAACUGUGACUGACAUUGAUGCUCGAAAGUGUGGGUAUCAAACAGGAUUAGAUACCCCUGUAGUC
rnacentral:rRNA from 1 species